rnacentral:misc_RNA from 1 species
UCUCCGUAGGUGAACCUGCGGAGGGAUCAUUACCGAGUGAGGGCCUCCGGGUCCGACCUCCAACCCUUUGUGAACACAUCCCGUUGCUUCGGGGGCGACCCUGCCGCUUCGGCGGUGCGGCGCCCCCGGAGGCCAUUAAACACUGCAUCAUUGCGUCGGAGUUAAAGUAAAUUAAACAAAACUUUCAACAACGGAUCUCUUGGUUCCAGCAUCGAUGAAGAACGCAGC